rnacentral:rRNA from 1 species
CCUCCGGGAGGCAGCAGUGGGGGAUAUUGCACAAUGGGGGAAACCCUGAUGCAGCGACGCCGCGUGUGGGAAGACGGUCCUCUGGAUUGUAAACCACUGUCCCCAGGGACUAAGAUGACGGUACCUGGGGAGUAAGCUCCUGCUAACUACGUUCCAGCAGCCGCGGUAGUACGUAGGGAGCGAGCGUUGUCCGGAAUUACUGGGUGAAAAGGGAGCGUAGGCGGGACUGCGAGCUGUGGGUAAAAUCUACCGGCUCAACCUGUAGUCGCACUCAAAACUGCAGUUCUUGAGUGAAGUAGAGGCAGGCGGAAUUCGUAGUGUAGCGGUGAAAUGCGUAGAUAUUAGGAGGAACACCAGUGGCGAAGGCGGCCUGCUGGGCUUUUACUGACGCUGAGGCUCGAAAGUGUGGGGAGCAAACAGGAUUAGAUACCCUGGUAGUC